AGAGUUUGAUCAUGGCUCAGGAUGAACGCUGGCGGCGUGCUUAACACAUGCAAGUCGAACGGAGAUAUUGAAAGCUUGCUUUAGAUAUCUUAGUGGCGGACGGGUGAGUAACGCGUGGGUAACCUACCCUGUACAGGGGGAUAGCAGUUGGAAACGACUGAUAAAACCGCAUAAAACGGCAGUACCGCAUGGUACAACCGUCAAAUAUUCAUAGGUACAGGAUGGGCCCGCGUCUGAUUAGCUAGUUGGUGGGGCAACGGCCUACCAAGGCGACGAUCAGUAGCCGGCCUGAGAGGGUGAACGGCCACAUUGGGACUGAGACACGGCCCAAACUCCUACGGGAGGCAGCAGUGGGGAAUAUUGGACAAUGGGGGAAACCCUGAUCCAGCGACGCCCGCGUGAGUGAAGAAGUAUUUCGGUAUGUAAAGCUCUAUCAGCAGGGAAGAUGAUGACGGUACCUGACUAAGAAGCACCGGCUAAAUACGUGCCAGCAGCAGC
rnacentral:rRNA from 1 species